rnacentral:rRNA from 1 species
GAUGAACGCUGGCGGCGUGCCUAAUACAUGCAAGUCGAGCGAACGGACGAGAAGCUUGCUUCUCUGAUGUUAGCGGCGGACGGGUGAGUAACACGUGGAUAACCUACCUAUAAGACUGGGAUAACUUCGGGAAACCGGAGCUAAUACCGGAUAAUAUUUUGAACCGCAUGGUUCAAAAGUGAAAGACGGUCUUGCUGUCACUUAUAGAUGGAUCCGCGCUGCAUUAGCUAGUUGGUAAGGUAACGGCUUACCAAGGCAACGAUGCAUAGCCGACCUGAGAGGGUGAUCGGCCACACUGGAACUGAGACACGGUCCAGACUCCUACGGGAGGCAGCAGUAGGGAAUCUUCCGCAAUGGGCGAAAGCCUGACGGAGCAACGCCGCGUGAGUGAUGAAGGUCUUCGGAUCGUAAAACUCUGUUAUUAGGGAAGAACAUAUGUGUAAGUAACUGUGCACAUCUUGACGGUACCUAAUCAGAAAGCCACGGCUAACUACGUGCCAGCAGCCGCGGUAAUACGUAGGUGGCAAGCGUUAUCCGGAAUUAUUGGGCGUAAAGCGCGCGUAGGCGGUUUUUUAAGUCUGAUGUGAAAGCCCACGGCUCAACCGUGGAGGGUCAUUGGAAACUGGAAAACUUGAGUGCAGAAGAGGAAAGUGGAAUUCCAUGUGUAGCGGUGAAAUGCGCAGAGAUAUGGAGGAACACCAGUGGCGAAGGCGACUUUCUGGUCUGUAACUGACGCUGAUGUGCGAAAGCGUGGGGAUCAAACAGGAUUAGAUACCCUGGUAGUCCACGCCGUAAACGAUGAGUGCUAAGUGUUAGGGGGUUUCCGCCCCUUAGUGCUGCAGCUAACGCAUUAAGCACUCCGCCUGGGGAGUACGACCGCAAGGUUGAAACUCAAAGGAAUUGACGGGGACCCGCACAAGCGGUGGAGCAUGUGGUUUAAUUCGAAGCAACGCGAAGAACCUUACCAAAUCUUGACAUCCUUUGACAACUCUAGAGAUAGAGCCUUCCCCUUCGGGGGACAAAGUGACAGGUGGUGCAUGGUUGUCGUCAGCUCGUGUCGUGAGAUGUUGGGUUAAGCCCCGCAACGAGCGCAACCCUUAAGCUUAGUUGCCAUCAUUAAGUUGGGCACUCUAAGUUGACUGCCGGUGACAAACCGGAGGAAGGUGGGGAUGACGUCAAAUCAUCAUGCCCCUUAUGAUUUGGGCUACACACGUGCUACAAUGGACAAUACAAAGGGCAGCGAAACCGCGAGGUCAAGCAAAUCCCAUAAAGUUGUUCUCAGUUCGGAUUGUAGUCUGCAACUCGACUACAUGAAGCUGGAAUCGCUAGUAAUCGUAGAUCAGCAUGCUACGGUGAGUACGUUCCCGGGUCU